UACGGAGGGUGCAAGCGUUAUUCGGAAUUACUAGGUGUAAAGGGCGUGUAGGCGGUUUAGUAAGUUAGAUGUGAAAUCUCAUGGCUCAACUGUGAGUCUGCAUCUAAAACUGUUAGACUUGAGUAUGGAAAGGGAAAACGGAAUUUCUAGUGUAGCGGUGGAAUGUGUAGAUACUAGAAGGAACAUCUAUGGCGAAAGCGGUUUUCUUGUCCAAUACUGACGCUAAGGCGCGAAAGCUAGGGGAGCAAACAGGAUUAGAUACCCUGGUAGUCCUAGCCAUAAACGAUGGUCACUAGGUGUGGGGAAUAUAUUCUCCGUGCUGACGCUAACGCAUUAAGUGACCCACCUGGGGAGUACGGUCGCAAGGCUGAA
rnacentral:rRNA from 1 species